rnacentral:rRNA from 1 species
GGGAGGAAUGCCUUUGGGUUGUAAACCUCUUUUCUCAGGGAAGAAGAUCUGACGGUACCUGAGGAAUAAGUAUCGGCUAACUCCGUGCCAGCAGCCGCGGUAAUACGGAGGAUGCAAGCGUUAUCCGGAAUCAUUGGGCGUAAAGCGUCCGCAGGUGGUUUCCAAAGUCUGCUGUUAAAGACUGGAGCUCAACUCCGGAACGGCGGUGGAAACUUGGAAACUAGAGUUCGGUAGGGGUAGCAGGAAUUCCCAGUGUAGCGGUGAAAUGCGUAGAUAUUGGGAAGAACAUCGGUGGCGAAGGCGUGCUACUGGACCGCAACUGACACUCAGGGACGAAAGCUAGGGUAGCGC